AUUGAACGCUGGCGGCAUGCUUUACACAUGCAAGUCGAACGGUAACAGGGUGCUUGCACCGCUGACGAGUGGCGAACGGGUGAGUAAUGCGUCGGAACGUGCCGAGUAGUGGGGGAUAACGCAGCGAAAGUUGUGCUAAUACCGCAUACGUACUGAGGUAGAAAGUGGGGGACCUUCGGGCCUCACGCUAUUCGAGCGGCCGACGUCUGAUUAGCUAGUAGGUGAGGUAAAGGCUCACCUAGGCGACGAUCAGUAGCGGGUCUGAGAGGAUGAUCCGCCACACUGGGACUGAGACACGGCCCAGACUCCUACGGGAGGCAGCAGUGGGGAAUUUUGGACAAUGGGCGAAAGCCUGAUCCAGCCAUGCCGCGUGUCUGAAGAAGGCCUUCGGGUUGUGAAGGACUUUUGUCGGGGAGGAAAUCCCUAGCGUUAAUACCGCUGGGGGAUGACAGUACCUGAAGAAUAAGCACCGGCUAACUACGUGCCAGCAGCCGCCGUAA
rnacentral:rRNA from 1 species